GGCAACCUGCCUUUAAGGUUGUUAUAGCUUCGGGAAUCCGAACCUAAUCCCGAUUAGCCUUUUGUCCUUCAUGGAAUAAGAUUAAAAGAUGUUUUCGCCUUUCACUUUCAUAGGGGCCCCGGUUGCUUUACCAAGUUGGUGAGGUAGUGGCUCACCAAGCUACGAGGCAAACCGCUCCUAAAGGGUGAUUGCCACCUGGUCUGAGACCGUCCCACACUCUUGCGGUAGGCCACAGUAGGGACUCUUCCGCAAUGCACCAAAGUCUGACGGAGCACCACCGCGUGAGUAUGAAGCCUCUCGGGUGGCUAAACUCUGUUGUUAGGAAGACAUGUCCAGAGAGUGACUGCUUGUACCUUGACGGCUCCUAACCAGAAAGCCACGGUUAACUACGUGCCAUCAGCCGCGGUAAUACGACUGUGGCAAGCGUUAUCCGGAAUUAUUGUUCGUAAAGCGCGCGCAGGCGGUUUCUUAAGUCUGAUGUGAAAGCCCACGGCUCAACCGCGGAGGGGCAUUGGAAACUGGAGAACUUGAGUGCAUGAAGAGAAAAGCGGAAUUCCACAGUGUAGCGGUGAAAUGCGUAGAGAUGCGGAGGAACACCAGUGGCGAAGCGGCUUUUUGGUCUAGUAACUUGACGCUGAGGCGCGAAAGCCGUGGGGAGCAAACAGGAUUAGAUACCCUGUAGUCCACGCCGGUAAACGGAUGAGUGCUAAGUGUUACGAGGGUUUCGCCUUUAGUGCUGCAGCUAACGCAUUAAGCACUCCGCCUGGGGAGUACGGUCGCAAGACUGAAACUCAAAGGAAUUGACGGGGGCCCGCACAAGCGGUGGAGCAUGUGGUUUAAUUCGAAGCAAGCGAAAACCUUACCAGGUCUUGACAUCCUCUGACAACUUAGAGAUAGAUCGUUUCCCCUUCGGGGGACAGAGUGACAGGUGGUGCAUGGUUGUCGUCAGCUCGUGUCGUGAGAUGUUGGGUUAAGUCCCGCAACGAGCGCAACCCUUGAUCUUAGUUGCCAGCAUUUAGUUGGGCACUCUAAGGUGACUGCGGUAAUAUAAGCCGGAGGAAGGUGGGGAUGACGUCAAAUCAUCAUGCCCCUUAUGACCUGGGCUACACACGUGCUACAAUGGGAUGGUACAAAGGGCUGCAAGACCGCGAGGUCAAGCCAAUCUCCAUAAAACCAUUGUCUCAGUUCGGAUUGUUCUCUGCAACUCGAGAGCAUGAAGCGGAAUCGCUAGUAAUCGCGGAUCAGCAUGCCGCGGUGAAUACGUUCCCAGGCCUUGUACACACCGCCCGUCACACCAUGGGAGUUGGUUUCACCCGAAGGCAGUGCUCUAACCCAAGGAGCUAGCCGCCUAAGGUGGGACAGAUGAUUGGGGUGAAGUCGUAACAAGGUAGCCGUAUCGGAAGGAACGCGGCUGUAUCUCAUCCUUU
rnacentral:rRNA from 1 species